UACGUAGGGGGCUAGCGUUGUCCGGAAUCAUUGGGCGUAAAGCGCGCGUAGGCGGCCUCAUAAGUCCGCUGUGAAAGUCAAAGGCUCAACCUUUGGAUGCCGGUGGAUACUGUGAGGCUAGAGUCCGGAAGAGGCGAGUGGAAUUCCUGGUGUAGCGGUGGAAUGCGCAGAUAUCAGGAGGAACACCGACGGCGAAGGCAGCUCGCUGGGACGGUACUGACGCUGAGGCGCGAAAGCGUGGGGAGCGAACAGGAUUAGAAACCCCCGUAGUCC
rnacentral:rRNA from 1 species